rnacentral:ribozyme from 14 species
CAAGAAAAAAAAAAAAAUUGAAAUAGGAUGAAGCCAAAAAAUGAAAAAAAGGAUCGAACCAAGUCAACUUUUCUUUUCUUUUUUUCUUUU